UAGACAUUUCAGUUCAGUUCAGAUCCGAUCCUGGAUCCCAUGGCGACCAGCGCCCCUGGUUUCUCUGUCGAGGACCAUAAGGUUUCUCAGCGUGAGAGGCCUGUCUGCCACUUUCGUACCUGGGCAUCUGUCUCUCGGUCUUGGCACGGAGCCGUCGUCCGGGAACUGUUGCCCGAACACGGAAACCCUAACGCCCAACCCUCGUGGGUUCCCCUUGCCGUCUAUCCCCACCCCAGGAGCCUAAUUGAAUACGCCAACCAUCCAGUCCCAUACUCGCUCAGACUCACUAGACCUUGCGGAGAAGAACAAGACACGAGUGCGACAGCCUCUGAGCGGAAAAGAAGUCUCUUCUUGUGGAGCAGAGGGCACGUAUGUUUCCUCGAGUAGGCUGCCGUUUUGUACGAGGGCGUGUGCGGACUGGGUGGACGGACAGUGUCGUUAGCCAGGAGUUGGAAACAGAUCCCGUGUUUACAGGCUGACAGAAACGGCAGCAACCAUGAGUUUAAGGAAGAAACCCUGGAAACAUCCACCGACACCAAGGUAUUUUGUAAUGGAGAGUGUCCACUGUGGGGGCACCUGGGCAGCUCCCGUGGUUCGGUGCCUGACGACGGCUCCGCGCAUGAUCAUCUCAUGGUUCCUGGGUUCCAACGUCAGGCCUUGUGCUGUCCGCAGAGAGACUGUUUUGGAUCCUCUGUUCCCACCCCA